GGGUCCUUAGCUCAGUAGGUAGAGCAUAUGAUUGAAGAUCAUAGUGUCCCCAGUUCAAUUCUGGGAGGGCCCA
rnacentral:tRNA from 1 species